UCAAAAACAUUUCUUUUCGUUUUCAUAAAAAGUAAAACCUGCCCACUGAUUGUUGAAGGGCCGCGGUAUUUUGACCGUGCUAAGGUAGCAUAAUCAUUAGUCUCUUAAUUAGGGAAUUGUAUGAAUGGUUAGUUCUUCAAGUAUUUUAUUGCUUUAAAUUAUUGAAUUUUGAUUGUAAGUGAAAAUUCUUUCUACUUAAAAAUAGACGAUAAGACCCUUUAGAUCUUUAUUUUGUCUAAAAGUUUAAAUUAAGUUUUUAAGUAAAAGUUUUGUUGGGGCAACAGAAGAAUAAAUAAAACUUCUUUAUAUGUUAAUAUCUUGUUUUAUAAAAAUAAAAAGUUACCUAAGGGAUAACAGCGUUAUAAUUUUUGAGAGUUCUUAUCGACAUAAUUGUUUGCGACCUCGAUGUUGAAUUAAAAAUCCUUUAUGGGGCAGUACUUAAACAAGGUAGUCUGUUCGACUGAUAAUUUUUUACAUGAUUUGAUUCCAGACCGGA
rnacentral:rRNA from 1 species